CCUACGGGAGGCUGCAGUGGGGAAUAUUGCACAAUGGGGGAAACCCUGAUGCAGCGACGCCGCGUGAGUGAAGAAGCGUUUCGGCGCGUAAAGCUCUGUCAGCGGGGAAGAAACACGGUUCGCGAGAGCCGCGGACGGUACCCGACCAAGAAGCCCCGGCUAACUACGUGCCAGCAGCCGCGGUAAUACGUAGGGGGCAAGCGUUAUCCGGAUUCACGGGGGGGAAAGGGAGCGUAGACGGCGAGACAAGUCUGGAGUGAAAGGCCGGGGCCCAACCCCGGGACUGCUCUGGAAACUGCCUUGCUGGAGUACAGGAGAGGUAAGUGGAAUUCCUAGUGUAGCGGUGAAAUGCGUAGAUAUUAGGAGGAACACCAGUGGCGAAGGCGGCUUACUGGACUGUAACUGACGUUGAGGCUCGAAAGCGUGGGGAGCAAACAGGAUUAGAUACCCCAGUAGUC
rnacentral:rRNA from 1 species